AACGCGAAGAACCUUACCGGGGCUUGACAUCGGACGCUCAUCUAUGAAAGUAGGUUUCCCCGCAAGGGGACGUCCAGACAGGUGCUGCAUGGCUGUCGUCAGCUCGUGCCGUGAGGUGUUGGGUUAAGUCCCGCAACGAGCGCAACCCUUGUCGUGUGUUGGUCAGCAAUGAUCUCUCACACGAGACCGCCGAUGAGAAGUCGGAGGAAGGUGGGGAUGACGUCAAGUCAGCAUGGCCCUUACGUCCCGGGCUACACACGUGCUACAAUGGGCAGGACAACGAGCUGCAAGCUAGUGAUAGUAAGCCAAUCUCUUAAACCUGUCCCCAGUUCGGAUUGAAGGCUGCAACUCGCCUUCAUGAAGUCGGAAUCGCUAGUAACCGCAGAUCAGCUACGCUGCGGUGAAUACGUUCCCGGGCCUUGUACACACCGGCUAC
rnacentral:rRNA from 1 species